AUCUGUAUUAGGAUGUCAUCAUAUCUGUAUUAGGAUGUAUUAGGAUUCUGUUUUGGCUGACUACAAUUUUUUUUUUUUUUUUGAGACGGAGUUUUGCUCUUUGUUGCCCAGGCUGCAGUGCAAUGACGCGAUCUCGGCUCACGGCAACCUCCGCCUCCCAGGUUCAAGUGAUUCUCCUGCCUCAGCCUCCCAGGUAGCUGGGAUUACAGGCAUGCGCCACUAUGCCUGGCUAUUUUUGUAUUUUUAGUGGAGGCAGGGUAUCUCCAUGUUGGUCAGGCCGGUCUCGAACUCCCGACCUCAGGUGAUCUGCCCACCUCAGCCUCCCAAAGUGCUGGGAAUACAGGCGUGAGCCACCGCGCCUGGCCGGCUGACUACAAAUUUUUUAAGUGACCAUUUAAAAAGUGAAAUUUUCAUCUUGUUUGGCAUCAAUCAAUAGUUCUUUUGUUGACUCCAGCUACCUAUUACAGCUGCUUUUUGGAAGAAAAUCGGUUAUAAAUAGUUUAAAUUAAGCUAAGUUAAAUGAGUACAACUGCUUCUCUUGAGUUCUGCUCGGUAACAAUAACUAUCUUAGAAAGGCUUAAGAAAAAUAUUGUAAAGAACCUUCAGUAUAAAAAGCGUAGAUGAACUUUGUGAAUGUAUGCCAUUGAUUGAAUACCUUUUGAUCUUACUGUGCAUACUAACUUUCUUGAUGUAAAUAUUUAGUGCGAUAUAAAUAUUUAGUGCGUGAUUUCCAUAGCAGAUGACAAGUUUAUAUUGAUUAUAACAUGGUCUCGGUUGAUAUUUUUCUGACAAGUAAGUUUAGAUCAUGUUUGGAUUUUGUUUCCUAUUACCUAGAGCCAACACAGAUCUAUAGAUUUCUUUGAACUCGGAAUCUCAUAGCACCAAUAUUUUUGCACAGAACUCUUACUUACAUGUCUCAUCGAAACUCCAGAACAAACAUCAAAAGGAAAACAUUUAAAGUUGAUGAUAUGUUAUCAAAAGUAGAGAAAAUGAAAGGAGAGCAAGAAUCUCAUAGCUUGUCAGCUCAUUUGCAGCUUACAUUUUUGGUUUCUUCCACAAAAAUGAUAAGCCAUCACCAAACUCAGAAAAUGAACAAAAUUCUGUUACCCUGGAAGUCCUGCUUGUGAAAGUUUGCCACAAAAAAAGAAAGGAUGUAUGUUGUCCAAUAAGGCAAGUUCCCACAGGUAAAAAGCAGGUGCCUUUGAAUCCUGACCUCAAUCAAACAAAACCUGGAAAUUUCCCGUCCCUUGCAGUUUCCAGUAAUGAAUUUGAACCUAGUAACAGCCACAUGGUGAAGUCUUACUCGUUGCUAUUUAGAGUGACUCGUCCAAGAAGAAGAGAGUUUAAUGGAAUGAUUAAUGGAGAAACCAUGAAAAUAUUGAUGUCAGUGAAGAGCUUCCAGCCAGAAGAAAAUGAAAUCGUGAGGAUGGGGAAAAGACAUUUGUUGCACAAAUGACAGUAUUUGAUAAAAACAGGUAAUGUUGAUGAACAAGCGAGGCUCCCACAAUGUUCUGGAAAUGUUUUCAUUCUGAAGCAGAAUAUAAUUAUUUAUAUUGAUUA
ensembl:lncRNA novel transcript